rnacentral:rRNA from 1 species
UCCCUACGGGGGGCAGCAGUGGGGGAUAUUGCACAAUGGGGGGAACCCUGAUGCAGCGACGCCGCGUGGGUGAAGGAGCGUUUCGGCGCGUAAAGCCCUAUCGGCAGGGACGAAGCAAGUGACGGUACCUGAGGAAUAAGCCACGGCUAACUACGUGCCAGCAGCCGCGGUAAUACGUAGGUGGCAAGCGUUAUCCGGAUUUACUGGGUGUAAAGGGCGUGUAGGCGGGGACGCAAGUCAGAU